rnacentral:rRNA from 1 species
GGGGGAUAUUGCACAAUGGAGGAAACUCUGAUGCAGCAACGCCGCGUGAGGGAAGAAGGUCUUCGGAUUGUAAACCUCUGUCUUCGGGGACGAAACAAAUGACGGUACUCGAGGAGGAAGCCACGGCUAACUACGUGCCAGCAGCCGCGGUAAUGCGUAGGUGGCAAGCGUUGUCCGGAAUUACUGGGUGUAAAGGGAGCGCAGGCGGAACUGCAAGUUGGGUGUUUAAUCUACGGGCUCAACCCGUAUCAGCAUUCAAAACUGUGGUUCUUGAGUAAUGCAGAGGUAGGCGGAAUUCCCGGUGUAGCGGUGGAAUGCGUAGAUAUCGGGAGGAACACCAGUGGCGAAGGCGGCCUACUGGGCAUCAACUGACGCUGAGGCUCGAAAGCAUGGGUAGCAAAC